CAAGAAAGAUUUAGUUGAUCUUAACAAGGAAGAGCAAUGGGAGACAAGAAAGAUUUAGUUGUUGGGAGACAAGAAAGGAAAGAUUUAGUUGAUCUUAACAAGGAAGAGCAAUGGGAGACAAGAAAGAUUUAGUUGUUGGGAGACAAGAAAGAUUUAGUUGAUCUUAACAAGGAAGAGCAAUGGGAGAUAACAAAGAUUUAGUUUUGCAUGCGUUGAUGCGAAUACGUUCCUCCAAUUUAUGAGGAGAAUAUAGGGGACCUCCAAUGCAUGCUAAAAAAAAAAAUAUUUUAC
rnacentral:lncRNA from 1 species